rnacentral:rRNA from 1 species
GAUUAACGCUGGCGGCGUGCAUAACACAUGCAAGUCGAACGAUGAAACUUAAAUGAUUUCUUCGGAAUGAACUUAAGUGGCUUAGUGGCGGACGGGUGAGUAACGCGUGAGUAACCUGCCUUACACAAGGGGAUAGCCGUUGGAAACGACGAAUAAUACCCUAUGAAACUAUCACUUCGCAUGAAGCGAUAGUCAAAGUGUUAGCGGUGUAAGAUGGACUUGCGUCUGAUUAGCUAGUUGGUGAGAAAAAAGCCCACCAAGGCAACGAUCAGUAGCCGGCUUGAGAGAGUGUACGGCCACAUUGGGACUGAGACACGGCCCAGACUCCUACGGGAGGCAGCAGUGGGGACUUUUGCACAAUGGGGGAAACCCUGAUGCAGCGACGCCGCGUGAUUUAGAAGGCCUUCGGGUUGUAAAAAUCUUUUGUAUAGGAAGAAAAUGGCAGUACUAUACGAAUAAGGUCCGGCUAAUUACGUG